rnacentral:siRNA from 1 species
GGGUGUCAAAAUGGGUUACCCAAC